rnacentral:tRNA from 1 species
GGGGGUUUAGCUCAGCGGCAUAAGCACCUGCCUUGCAAGCAGGUGGUCGUGAGUUCGAUCCCCGGUACCCAUA